rnacentral:rRNA from 1 species
CGAGCGGACAGAAGGGAGCUUGCUCCCGGAUGUUAGCGGCGGACGGGUGAGUAACACGUGGGUAACCUGCCUGUAAGACUGGGAUAACUCCGGGAAACCGGAGCUAAUACCGGAUAGUUCCUUGAACCGCAUGGUUCAAGGAUGAAAGACGGUUUCGGCUGUCACUUACAGAUGGACCCGCGGCGCAUUAGCUAGUUGGUGGGGUAAUGGCUCACCAAGGCGACGAUGCGUAGCCGACCUGAGAGGGUGAUCGGCCACACUGGGACUGAGACACGGCCCAGACUCCUACGGGAGGCAGCAGUAGGGAAUCUUCCGCAAUGGACGAAAGUCUGACGGAGCAACGCCGCGUGAGUGAUGAAGGUUUUCGGAUCGUAAAGCUCUGUUGUUAGGGAAGAACAAGUGCGAGAGUAACUGCUCGCACCUUGACGGUACCUAACCAGAAAGCCACGGCUAACUACGUGCCAGCAGCCGCGGUAAUACGUAGGUGGCAAGCGUUGUCCGGAAUUAUUGGGCGUAAAGGGCUCGCAGGCGGUUUCUUAAGUCUGAUGUGAAAGCCCCGCGGCUCAACCGGGGAGGGUCAUUGGAAACUGGGAAACUUGAGUGCAGAAGAGGAGAGUGGAAUUCCACGUGUAGCGGUGAAAUGCGUAGAGAUGUGGAGGAACACCAGUGGCGAACGCGACUCUCUGGUCUGUAACUGACGCUGAGAGCGAAAGCGUGGAGAGCGAA